GAGCUCGUAGGUGGUUUGUCGCGUCGUUUGUGGAAUACCGCAGCUUAACUGCGGGGUUGCAGGCGAUACGGGCAUAACUUGAGUGCUGUAGGGGAGACUGGAAUUCCUGGUGUAGCGGUGGAAUGCGCAGAUAUCAGGAGGAACACCGAUGGCGAAGGCAGGUCUCUGGGCAGUAACUGACGCUGAGGAGCGAAAGCAUGGGGAGCGAACAGGAUUAGAUACCCUGGUAGUCCAUGCUGUAAACGGUGGGCGCUAGGUGUGAGUCCCUUCCACGGGGUUCGUGCCGUAGCUAACGGCAUUAAGCGCCCCGCCUGGGGAGUACGGCCGCAAGGCUAAAACUCAAAGGAAUUGACGGGGGCCCGCACAAGCGGCGGAGCAUGUGGAUUAAUUCGAUGCAACGCGAAGAACCUUACCUGGGCUUGACAUACACCAGAUCGCUGCAGAGAUGUAGUUUCCCUUUGUGGCUGGUGUACAGGUGGUGCAUGGUUGUCGUCAGCUCGUGUCGUGAGAUGUUGGGUUAAGUCCCGCAACGAGCGCAACCCUUGUCUUAUGUUGCCAGCAUUUGGUUGGGGACUCAUGAGAGACUGCCGGGGUUAACUCGGAGGAAGGUGGGGAUGACGUCAAAUCAUCAUGCCCCUUAUGUCCAGGGCUUCACACAUGCUACAAUGGUCGGUACAGCGCGUGUGCGAUACUGUGAGGUGGAGCUAAUCGCUGAAAGCCGGUCGUAGUUCGGAUUGGGGUCUGCAACUCGACCCCAUGAAGUCGG
rnacentral:rRNA from 1 species